rnacentral:rRNA from 1 species
GACGAGCGCUGGCGGCGUGGAUAAGACAUGCAAGUCGAGCGCGAUACAUCCUGCAGCAAUGUAGGAUGUGUUGAGCGGCGCAAGGGUGCGUAACACGUGGGUAAUUUGCCAUGAAGUUUGGGAUAACUCGCUGAAAGGCGAGCUAAUACCGGAUGUGAUAAUCGGGAGGCAUCUCCUGAUUAUUAAAGUUGGGGACCGAAAGGCCUGACGCUUCUUGAUAAGCCCGCGGCCUAUCAGCUAGUUGGUGAGGUAACGGCUCACCAAGGCUAAGACGGGUAGCUGGUCUGAGAGGACGACCAGCCACACUGGAACUGAGACACGGUCCAGACACCUACGGGCGGCAGCAGUCGAGAAUUUUUCACAAUGGGCGCAAGCCUGAUGGAGCGACGCCGCGUGGGGGAUGAAGGGCUUCGGCCCGUAAACCCCUGUCAUUUGCGAACAAACCUCGCUAUUUAAAAAGAUGGCGAGCUGAUGGUAGCG